rnacentral:rRNA from 1 species
CCCUUAGAUGUUCUGGGCCGCACGCGUGCUACACUGAGUGGAUCAGCGGGUCAGGUUGCGCGAAAGCGUUUCCUAAUCUUUAAAUCCGCUCGUGAUGGGGAUUGACGGUUGCAAUUUUCUGUCAUGAACGAGGAAUACCUUGUAAGCGCGGGUCAUCAUCCCGCGCUGAAUACGUCCCUGCCCUUUGUACACACCGCCCGUCGCUCCUACCGAUUGGGUGUGCUGGUGAAAUGUUCGGAUCGGCCGUUUGUCGCGGUUUCCGCGGCUCGUGGCUGAGAAGUUCAUUAAACCCUCCCACCUAGAGGAAGGAGAAGUCGUAACA